UACGAAGGGGGCUAGCGUUGCUCGGAAUCACUGGGCGUAAAGCGCACGUAGGCGGCUCGUUAAGUCGGGGGUGAAAUCCUGGAGCUCAACUCCAGAACUGCCCUCGAUACUGACGAGCUCGAGUCCGGGAGAGGUGAGUGGAACUGCGAGUGUAGAGGUGAAAUUCGUAGAUAUUCGCAAGAACACCAGUGGCGAAGGCGGCUCACUGGCCCGGUACUGACGCUGAGGUGCGAAAGCGUGGGGAGCAAACAGGG
rnacentral:rRNA from 1 species